rnacentral:rRNA from 1 species
AGUCGAGCGGAGAUGAGGUGCUUGCACCUUAUCUUAGCGGCGGACGGGUGAGUAAUGCUUAGGAAUCUGCCUAUUAGUGGGGGACAACAUUCCGAAAGGAAUGCUAAUACCGCAUACGCCCUACGGGGGAAAGCAGGGGAUCUUCGGACCUUGCGCUAAUAGAUGAGCCUAAGUCGGAUUAGCUAGUUGGUGGGGUAAAGGCCUACCAAGGCGACGAUCUGUAGCGGGUCUGAGAGGAUGAUCCGCCACACUGGGACUGAGACACGGCCCAGACUCCUACGGGAGGCAGCAGUGGGGAAUAUUGGACAAUGGGCGGAAGCCUGAUCCAGCCAUGCCGCGUGUGUGAAGAAGGCCUUUUGGUUGUAAAGCACUUUAAGCGAGGAGGAGGCUACUUAGAUUAAUACUCUAGGAUAGUGGACGUUACUCGCAGAAUAAGCACCGGCUAACUCUGUGCCAGCAGCCGCGGUAAUACAGAGGGUGCGAGCGUUAAUCGGAUUUACUGGGCGUAAAGCGUGCGUAGGCGGCUGAUUAAGUCGGAUGUGAAAUCCCUGAGCUUAACUUAGGAAUUGCAUUCGAUACUGGUCAGCUAGAGUAUGGGAGAGGAUGGUAGAAUUCCAGGUGUAGCGGUGAAAUGCGUAGAGAUCUGGAGGAAUACCGAUGGCGAAGGCAGCCAUCUGGCCUAAUACUGACGCUGAGGUACGAAAGCAUGGGGAGCAAACAGGAUUAGAUACCCUGGUAGUCCAUGCCGUAAACGAUGUCUACUAGCCGUUGGGGCCUUUGAGGCUCUAGUGGCGCAGCUAACGCGAUAAGUAGACCGCCUGGGGAGUACGGUCGCAAGACUAAAACUCAAAUGAAUUGACGGGGGCCCGCACAAGCGGUGGAGCAUGUGGUUUAAUUCGAUGCAACGCGAAGAACCUUACCUGGGCCUUGACAUAGUAAGAACUUUCCAGAGAUGGAUUGGUGCCUUCGGGAACUUACAUACAGGUGCUGCAUGGCUGUCGUCAGCUCGUGUCGUGAGAUG